GACGAACGCUGGCGGUGUGCUUAACACAUGCAAGUCGAACGGUAAGGCCCUUUCGGGGGUACACGAGUGGCGAACGGGUGAGUAACACGUGAGUAACCUGCCCUCAUCUCUGGGAUAACAGUCGGAAACGGUUGCUAAUACUGGAUAUGAGCUUGCAAGGCACCUUGUGGGUUGGAAAGAUUUUUUUGGUUGGGGAUGGACUCGCGGCCUAUCAGCUUGUUGGUGAGGUAGUGGCUCACCAAGGCUUCGACGGGUAGCCGGCCUGAGAGGGCGACCGGCCACAUUGGGACUGAGAUACGGCCCAAACUCCUACGGGAGGCAGCAGUGGGGAAUAUUGCACAAUGGACGGAAGUCUGAUGCAGCAACGCCGCGUGCGGGAUGACGGCCUUCGGGUUGUAAACCGCUUUCAAUUGUGACGAAGCUUUUUGUGACGGUAGCAGUAGAAGAAGCACCGGCUAACUACGU
rnacentral:rRNA from 1 species